rnacentral:hammerhead_ribozyme from 1 species
AUCCAACUGACGAAUCCCAAAUAGGACGAAAUGCGCGUCCUGGAU